rnacentral:sRNA from 1 species
UCUAUGGUAACUCUUUAGGCAUUCCUUCGAACAAGAUGCAAGAAAAGACAAAAUGACAGCCCUUCUACGAGUGAUUAGCCUGGUCGUGAUUAGCGUGGUGGUGAUUAUUAUCCCACCGUGCGGGGCUGCACUUGGACGAGGAAAGGCUUAGAGAUCAAGCCUUAACGAACUAAGACCCCCGCACCGAAAGGUCCGGGGGUUUUUUUUUGACCUUAAAAACAUAACUGAGGAGCAGACAAUGAAUAACAGCACAAAAUUCUGUUUCUC